rnacentral:lncRNA from 1 species
ACCCGUGUGUGGGGGACAGUGAUUUGCGGGAAGCUCCAGGCUGGGUCCCCGUCAGCGGAGGAGCUGCCGCUGAUGAGGAUGCGAUGAAGAGGUUCUGUCCCCGGAGAGCUCUGGAGGAGCUCCAGAAUCACUCUCCCUUUUAGUCAUAGAGAUAGGAAGUGCCAUCACCAAGCAUGUGGUCCUGACCUCAGUUGGAGCAUCCUUGGCCUGGAGUCAAGCAGUUGCUGUACUCACUGAAACAGCCAAAUUAACUGUCUGCUUAACCAUGGAUUAAAAUUCAUCCAUUGAUCCAAGACAUGCUAUUCUACAAUCCUCAGGCUGCUGGUCAAACGAAACACUUAAGAGCUGUAUAUACUCAGGAAUAAAAUUUAGCACAACAAUGAAGUCGUUAGUGUA